rnacentral:misc_RNA from 1 species
GUGAUGAUGAUGCUGCCUCUGUUACUGCCUGUGUUAGAAUAAAAGAGAAGGUGGGGAGCGAUCUAAUCAUGUUUUUAAAAAAUUAACACUUUCAUGUUUUUUUCUUCUUCUCAUUUUGCCCUCCAAUACCAUCUCCUUUUUCCCAUUGGAUGGGUAAAUCCAUCAGGGGCAAAUUGGUAAAAAUGAAUGAAUACCCAAGAUUAUUGACAAAUCUAACAAGGGGUUUGGUUACUUAGUUUCUAGGAAACGUGAAAGUGGGUGAAAAUGUGAGAUCUUUUUUUAUAUAUUUAAUGUUGAGGAAUGAAGAUAGAGAGAUA